rnacentral:lncRNA from 1 species
AAUUUUUAAGCCCAACAAGACCUCUUUUUCCGUAACCCUACAACUCAAAAAAAAAAUCCCUAGGCUAGCCUUCUUGUUCAUACUUGGACAUUGAAAAACCAGACAACAAGACAACAAUGAACAACCAUGGACGCCCAUCUUCUUCUUCACGUGGAUGAACUAGCGGAACCCUAGAGACCAAACUGAAACCGCCGCCGGCUCUGCUCCUUCUUCACUCACGUCCAUGGCUUCUUCAACAAGACAAGAGACGAAACCCUAGGCUGCCAUCUUCUUCUUCGACACUGAACCAAACAGCGCCCCCUGCUUCCCGUCGUCAAACCAACCAGCGACCCUCCUCUCCAAAAACAAAACCAGCAGCCAUCCUCUACACCACCACGCCGCCGCCGCCUUCCCCUUCACUCCGUCUAAACAGAACACAUUUUUGAACCCUUGAGCCGUGACUCACACACACGCACAGCUUCACCUCCGCUGGAACCAGACCCCGGACAGCCACCAUUCCAACUCCAUAAUCGUUGCUCCUCCAUAGCUUUUGAAUUUUUAGUCGUCCCUCUGUUUCAGCCAGAACCCGCCACCUCUCAACCAAAAAUCUCGCCGAAAAAUACUCACUCACGACCGAACCUUAACAUCCAGCAUCCAGCCCUCGACCUAGUCAAGAAGCUUGAUAUCUCUGUUUGUUAAAUUCAAUUUCGCGUUUUGUUCCGUUCUUCAUCGUCAAAUUCUUAGUCAGCUUUGUAUUUGCUUCCAACCUUCGUUGUCUGGAGCUAUCACCAUGGAUAGAAGAAAAAUGAUUCCAUUUGAAGUCAUUUUCAUUCUCAUUUCUUCCAAAUCAUUGAGCUGAAUUCGAGUUCGUUUCCGGUGGUCGGUUCCGGUCGAGAUCCGUCUCUGUAAUUUCAGCUCAACUUAUUUAUACCAAAGGUCACAUUCCCGUCCCUUCCUUCCCUCUCUUAUUUACAAAGUUCUCUUUUCUAAUUGACAAUAUUCUUGGUGUUGUUAGUUGCAUACUGAAUCGUUUGAUAUGUUAGUUGCAUGCUGAUUUGCUUGAUACUUUAUUUGCUUGAUAUGUUGUUUGGGUGCAAAUAUUAUAGUGGUUAUUCCAAUUCUAUGUAGCAAUAUUUCAUUAGAUAGUGCUGUUUGGAUUUUAUUUGUUAAUUGGAGUUUCUAAUCUAAAAGAGCAAAAACACAUUUGAACUUCUUAAGGAAAAAUUGUCAUGACAGGGAUAUUGAAAGGUUAUAACAAUUUGAGCGUUAGGAUUAUUUUGUUAGUUCUUUAUUUCAUUAUACCUGUUUGAUCGCUAGUAGCAUGCUUAGGCCGACCACCUGGGUAGGCAAACUUUAGAAUUUUGUUAGUUUUGAGGCGAAAGGUCGUUCCCUUAGUUAAAUUUAACGGGGGAAUGUCCCAAAUAAUUUGUAUAUAUUUUAUCAGGGGAAUGACCUGUAGUACUAUAUAAUUGGAGGCCAUGACGAACAUCAUAGAAGAAGUAGCAUAAGAUAUUUUAAAAUUUUUAUUUUCCUUCUUUUAAUUUUCUUAUUUAGGUCGGGUACGCAACCGUACUAGUUAUGGGACUUGGGGAGUACCUAACACCUUCUCCCCGAGUCAAAUGAACACCCUUACCGAAUCUCUGAUCCGGAUUUGGUUUUAGAAUCUGAAACGUUUUAAAAGGAAAAACUAUUUUAAAAAUGGCGACCUGGCACACCAAAAUCAAUGUCAGGUGGCGACUCUGAGUUUAUUUCCUCUUGAAACACAAUUUUUGUUACUUUCAAAAUUGAAAACCCUUUUCAAGCUUUUACUAAAUCCUUUUAUUUAUUUAAGAGGGUUAAGUAAAAGUUUGUUUUAAAAAAAAGGGUGUGACAUCUCUGGCGACUCUAUUGGGGAGUUGCGGGUUCGAGUUAGUACAUGAUAUUGUUGGCUUUUAGGAUUUUCCGUUGAGGAUUUUAUGUAUUUGGUUUGUUUUAUUUGAUUUUUAUUUUGUUUAUGUCUUUUAUUAUUUACUAGCUGCUUAUGUGUUUACAGUUUUACUUUAUGUGCUUACUGCUUCAUAACCGUCAUCAUUCGCGUAACCCCGGGUCUUUUUUCUGCAACAAGUCUUCCGGAGUACGUUUGAGCAUAUACGACCUUUUUGUGAUUCACCCGUGUCUUUAUGGGGUGGCGUAGGAGCGUGGAGUGGGCGGAUAGCUAGAGCUGCCGCCCCGAAUUGCCUUGUCUAGUGAACCCCAACUGUAGGUCAGCCUUUAGGUCAUACUUAUGUGCAUAAUAUCACUUAAACCUAGCAGGGUUCGGUCCCAGACAGCGUAUCCCAUUGUAGGAGGCCUAUCCAAAUUAUGUCAAAAUGGGCUUAUGGCCCAAAAAGGACAUUUAUUCAUUCCUAUGUGCUACAUGUUGCAUCUCUUUAAGGGUAAAUGGUCAUUUGGAGGACCGAGGAUACUUGAGGGUGAAAUAUAAAAUGAAGUAGGUGAUUUUACACUUUUUAGCCACAUUUAUCCAUGUAGGUUGUUUUUGCAAAAUGGGCCAUUUUCGCAAAGUAAGUUUUCUUUAAGGCAAUGAUUGUUGAGAUGUUAGAGUCAAUGAGUCAUGCAAACUUUAAAUGGAUUAUUUUUCAUGUAUUAGGGGGUUAGUUUUGUCAAGUUUGCACUAAUAACCACUUUAGUCACUCAAGUCAUUUUGUAAAAUAUAGCCAAAUCGUGUCUUGCAUCAUUCCACUAGGAGGAGUCGUGAAAUCAUAUGUGUCUUCAGUCACUAACUAUAUUUGAUCUUAAUUUUCCCAUUCAGGUAUGGAUAUAAAUACCCCAGGACUUUUUAACCUUUUUAGUAUAUCUUAUGUUGUCUUUUAAUUUUAGUCUUGUACAGUAAGAUAGAGUCUGUCAGUCUAGUUAAGAUUGUCGAGUCUUUUGUUAUAGUACUUCCUAUUUAUAUUUAAAAAACCGAAAAAAAGUUGUAAAUGAAAAAUCCAAAAAGAUUUUUAUUUUUAUAUUAUUUUGUCCAUUGCUUUUUUUGUCAAGAACUACGAUUGAUCUGAUUCAUGAGGGACAUGAUACGUAGGCAACCUACAUAGGGUUUGAUCGAAUUAUUUUUUUAAAAAAGAAAAAAAAGAAAAAAAAGAGAUGAAACUGUGGGCAUGAGAAAUGUGAAAAAAGAAGAAGCGAUAAUUAGAAAGAACAGAGGGUGAUAGGAAUGACAAAUCAAUCGGUGUUAGAAAGGAAGAGGAGGAAGGAAAUGAGGCAAAAAGAGUGAAAUUGGGAUGAUUCCAUAUGAUCUUCGUACCCUCGAAGCCAUUCUAGAACCGUAAUUGUUGCUAGGGAAUGGCACACAAUGUGGUAUUUCUAUCUGCUAAAUGCUCUAACACUAACCUGUUGGCUUUUUUUUGCUCUCCUUUGUUACUUUCAUUGUUAUCAUAACAGAGGGUGGUUAGUUUGUGGAACUUUGGCGAUUCAUCUAUGCAACACAAGGUGAAGAAUUAAGGAAACCAUGGCUAGCAAAAACUUGGAUAAGAGAGUUGUCGACCCCUCGAGGAAGAUUGCGGAGUCGGAAUCUGAAUUGAACGAGGAGGUCCAAAGGUUGAAACAACAAAAGUCUGAAAUAUGUCAAGCAUGGGCCAAUAGUCAAGGACCGCCCCUUUCUUAUGCUUUCCCAGAUUUUACACCGAUCUCUCCUAGUACCACUCCGAUUUCAUUGUCCGAUCAAUUCCAUCCAUUCAUGUUCAGUCUUUAUCCCAAUUGCAUGACUAUAGUUGGAACUUCUGUUGCGUGCUCCCAAAGUAUGCCAUUCACAACCAGUCAGACAACCACUACAGUUAUGCAUGUCUUUACCAUCCCACAACCGACGGUGGUGCAGAGAAAAACUCAUGAGUCACAAUUUGAUUCCCAGCAAGAACAAUAUCACUCUCCUGAUUACCACUCUUACCUAUUUGAUCUUCAUGCAAAGAUUGAGAAGCCUGGGCCAAAGGUAGCAUAUGAAGAAAUAACCCGCAGGCUGAAAAGCUUAGAACAACAGUUGAAAAACAUGCAAGGGCCGACAGGUCAUAAGAGUAUUGCCUUCAAGGAUCUAUGUAUGUUCCCCGAUGUUCGUUUGCCACUUGGUUUCAAGACUCCCAAAUUUGAAAUGUAUGAUGGACAUGGAUACCAUGUAGCCCACCUGAAAAGGUAUUGCAAUAAACUGAGAGGUGCGGGAGGAAAUGAAGAAUUGUUGAUGGCUUGUUUUGGGGAAAGCCUUACGGGUUUAGCCUCCGAAUAGUUUAUGGUUCAAGACACAUCUUGCUGGUAUGUCUGGGAUGAUAUGGCACAUGCCUUUGUCAAACAGUUCCAAUAUAAUAUCGACAUUGCUCCAGACCGCAAUUCCUUUUCAAACCUGAAGAAGAAACCAACUGAAAGUCUCAGGGAAUAUGCCAUUAAAUGGAGAGAACAAGCAGCAAGAGUUAAGCCACCCAUGGAUGACCACGAGCUUAUCACUGUCUUCCUUCAGGCUCAAGAGCCCGAUUACUUUCAAAACAUGGUGUCCGCAGUUGGUAAAUCAUUCUCGGAAGCAGUAAAAAUGGGAGAAAUGGUAGAUAAUGGCCUUAAGAGAGGCAAAAUCAUAAGUCAAUCAACUCUCAGAGCUGCAACUCAGGCUGUCCAUAUUGAAUCUGGUAAUUUUAGUGGCACGAGUGAGAAGGUUAAGGAAAUCAUGAUGACAUCAAGGUCGAGAAGAGGUCCUAGAAGAACAUAUCAAAGGCAUGAUCAACCUCGUUUGUUUUUUGAUGAUUCCCAUGAGAACCCAUAAUACUAUGUUGCUUUACCCCAGUGUGUUGUCGAGCCACUAAGACACCCCAGAAGGCGAGCACUAGCUCCGCAAAAUCUCCACCAGCCUCCGCAAAAUUUUCAGGUGCCCCAUAACCCACAACCAAGCCAGGGGACUGAGGUAAACAAAGGUUGAAAGAUAAUUUUACCCUGAUAGGAGAGUCCUACGCAAGCUUUUAGAGGACUUAGCAGAAGAUAAAGCCUUGGUUUGGUAAAGACAUCUGCCAAUUGGUACAUGCUGGAAACAUAGCAUACCCGAACUUCACCACGCGACACUCUCACCGGGUAAAUCCGGAGAAGGGGAACUUCAACUAAGAAAGAAUAAGAAUAAGCAGAAUUGCUUAAGUAAGGUAGUCGCUUCUUUUUUUCGGUAUACUGGGGAACUUCAACUAAGAAAGAAUAAACUAAAGCAUUACGACCUGAUUGCACCUAUUCCUCCGAAUCAUAUGGAUAAGCGUGCAAGAAGCUUUGACCCUUCUAAAAGGUGUGAAUACCAUUCCAAUGCCCAGGGGAACAAUGUUGAAAGUUGUCGGGAUUUGAAAAGAGAGAUAGAAAGAAUGAUUCAGGAAGGGAUAAUUGUGGUCCAUGACAGUGACACCCAAAAUAUUUCACAGAAUCCUUUACUUGUACUUGAGGAUGCAUACCUUGUGUAGAUGAUGCAUGGUAACACAGAGUAUGAGAAUCCUCUUGGGAACUUGCUGACUAAAGUUAAUGAUAUUGAAACUGGUGAAGGUCCCAGUAAUUUUGAUGUGCAGUCCAGUGGCUAAGAUGUCGAGCUUGCUGAUUGGAAAGACACUCCUUUCUCGACUAGCCAAGGAGGAGUUUUGGUAGUUUAUUUUGUUGUCAUUUCUGUUGUUCGAGUUAUUCUAGGGUUGUAAUCCGGAUAUUAUCUUGUGGCUCAAACUCUUCUUCUUCUUUUUGCCUAGUUAUUUUUAUUGUAGUAACUCAUCUAGUGUUAUCUAGGUUGUUCCAGGGUUGUAACCCGUGUCUAUUUUGCUUGUUUUGUUCAAACCCUAUUCACCAUGUAUCUAAUGCAAUCUCCUGUUUUUUGUUAGUUCUAGUCAGUUUUUGUUUAGGUCACUUUUCCUUUUAUAGUUCUUUCAUGCUGACUCCAAUGAUAUGACAUGCACGCAUAAUUCCCAGCCUGGUCUCGAAAGUUAGUUUAAUCAUGAAGCAAUGACUCAAUGUUGAACAUGGUAAAAGAGGCAUUUGAGGAAAAAGUAAAGAUUCAUGCAUUCUGAGAAACCUAAAGCUUGAAUUGAGUGAAACUGAGGCAGUUAGUUUUGAAAUCAAUAGGUCGAUAAGAGCUUGCAACAAGGAAAUGCCUCUCAAGCAAUUUGAGGUAAAUCAGUCAGUGCUGAAAUGCAUUCUUUCGCAUCAAGAUAAGAUUGAGUCAAGUCUGCUUCGAACUGGUCAGGGUCAUUCAUUCAGACAAAGGUAUUGCCCAUUGGUACUCUUAUGUGUUGAUGUCAUCGAUAGUUACUAUGUGUGAUUUGUUUGCUUAUCUUCAAUUGCAUGUUCGUACUUGGCAUUUUAAAGUUUGGUAUGAUGAAGAUAUUUUAUUCUGCUACCCAAACACUUUUAUCAUUUGCUACCCAUUUUGAGCUUAAUUUUUUGUUUCAUACCCCUCUUUUGGAAUAAAAAAUAGAGUCAGGAACUAGAAAAGGAAAAGAAAAAGAGAAAGAAAAAAAAGGAAAAAGAAAAAGAAAAAGAAAGAAAAAAAGAGAAAAGAAAAAAAAGGGAAAAAGAAAAAAAAAGAAAGAAACAACUUUGUCGUUUGAACUACGUUUGACCUGAUUCUUGUUACCACAAGAUACGUAGGCAGCCUCACGGUUCAGUCACAUGAAAUAAAAUAUUUCAUAAUUCCCCAAAAUCAAUACUGCGGCCGAUUUUCUUAGAAACCCAUAAAAAUAGAGAAAUAAUACGAAAUAAAAUAUUUCAUAAUUCCUCGAAAUCAAUACUGGGCAGAUUUUCUUAGAAACCCCAUAAAAAAGAGAGAAAAUAAUCCCUCCAAACUCCGAGAAACUUGGGCAGAAGUUUUAAUUUUGCAAAAUAAAUCGAAUUCCAAAAGUUUUAAUUUUUAACCUUUUAUCUUAAAUUAUUUUGAGCCUUCAUUCCACCCCUUUCUUUCCAACCCUAUCCAAAAGUCUACAUUACGGUCCAAAGAAAGACCUUCUGACCACUCUUUGAGGAUGCCAAAUCAAGUGUGUGGCAAAAGUCUGAUAUUCUUGCAUCAUGGGUAAUACUUUGUUCUCAACACAAAGAGAGAAAAUGACAGUGAUAUUCUUGCAUCAUGUGUAAUAUUUUGUUCUCAACACAAAGAUAGAAACUGAUAAAAUGAGAGAGUCUUAUCGGUGAAAACCCUCAUGGGCACCGUAAGGCGAUGGUGAGUUCAGAAAAGAACAAAAUGAGAGAGGCUUGAUGGUGAAAACCCUUCAAGGCACUACACGUCAAUUGAGGAUUGUGGAUCAGAUAGGACAACUGAAGCGCUGAAGCCGAGUGAAGAGGUACAACAAAAGUUAAAUAUUAGACUUGCCUGAGAGAUUAGGCCACUUAAUCUAAAGGUGCAUGUCAUGGUCAUUAGAGUUGGUAUCCACAUCCGAUGAGUUUCUACUUUGUGAUUUUUUUGGUUAGGUAUCAUCCCUUUUCCUUGUCCCUUAUUUUGUUCAUCUUGUUUUGUUUGACUUCCUUCUUGAGUCUAUUUGGUCAAGUGAGAAAUGACUUCAAAAUUUACUACCAUCUUUCCAAUUGCACAAAACAAAUUUAGCUGGCACAUCAAAGUGGCAUAAGUCAUGCAAAAGUGGUGUGCAAACCGAGUUGGUAAAAAUCAGCAUGCCUUAGGAUUCACGUGAAAUGCAAGGGUCUGGUAAAAGUUAACUCAUGAGCAAAAUGCAACAAAUAGAGGAUAUUGGGAUUGAAUGGAGAUGAGAUGUUUUCUGUGAUAAGUUUGAAAGAAAAUGGGUAGUCUAUAACAGGCAAGGUCUGCCAAGUUGAAAUCAAAGUUAUCAUACCAAGUGCAGAAGCAGCUUCCUUCAAGAUCAAGGCCGCAAACUAACCACCACAUUUUAAACACACAUGUUUUCUUUGUUUGAAACAAGAACAAAGCAAUGCAAGCAAGUUGGUCAAAAACAAGAAAGGAAAAACAAAGAAAAAAAAGGAAAAGAAAUAAAAAGAAAAAGAAAAAAAGAGAAGAAGAGCCGACAAAGGAAAGUUUCUCAAAUCUUUACUUUUAUUUUUCUUGCUAGUGUGUAUAAAUGUUGCCACUGCUCUUCACCUUUUUCCUCAUAGGAUAAAAGUCUUAGUCUGAUGGAUUUUCCUCGCAAUCAAAAUCUUAAUCUGAUGAAUCUUUCUCCUAAGAUAACAAAAAGGCCUAGUCUGAUGAAUUUUCUCCUAGGAUCAAAAUCUUAGUCUGAUGAAUUUUUCUCCUAANNNNNNNNNNNNNNNNNNNNNNNNNNNNNNNNNNNNNNNNNNNNNNNNNNNNNNNNNNNNNNNNNNNNNNNNNNNNNNNNNNNNNNNNNNGACCUAUUCUGAUGAAUUUUCUCCUAGGAUCAAAAUCUUAGUCUGAUGAAUUUUUCUCCUAAGAUAAGGAAACCCAGUCUGAUGAAUUUUCUCCUAGGAUCGAAAUCUUAGUCUGACGAGUUCUUCUCCUAAGAUAACAAAAGACCUAGUCUGAUGAAAUUUCUCCUAGGAUCAGAAUCUUAGUAUGAUGAAUCUUUCUCCUAAGAUAACAAAAAGACAUAGUCUGAUGAAUUUUCUCCUAGGAUCAAAAUCUUAGUCUGAUGAACCCUUCUCCUUAGAUAGAAGACCUAGUCUGAUGAAUUUUCUCCUAGGAUCAAAAUCUUAGUCUGAUGAACAUUUCUCCUAAGAUAACAAAAAGACCUAGUUUGAUGAAUUUUCCUCCUAAGAUAGAAGACCUAGUCUGAUGAAUUUUUCUCUUAAGAUAAGAAAACCUAGUCUGAUGAAUUUUCUCCUAGGAUCAAAAUCUUAGUCUGAUGAAUCUUUCUCCUAAGAUAACAAAAAGACCUAGUCUGAUAAAUUUUUCUCCUAGGAUCAAAAUCUUAGUCUGAUGAACCUUUCUCCUAAGACAGAAGACCUAGUCUGAUGAAUUUUCUCCUAGGAUCAAAAUCUUAGUCUGAUGAAUUUUUCUCCUAAGAUAAGGAAACCCAGUCUGAUGAAUUUUCUCCUAGGAUCGAAAUCUUAGUCUGACGAGUUCUUCUCCUAAGAUAACAAAAGACCUAGUCUGAUGAAAUUUCUCCUAGGAUCAGAAUCUUAGUAUGAUGAAUUUUUCUCCUACGAUAACAAAAAGACAUAGUCUGAUGAAUUUUCUCCUAGGAUCAAAAUCUUAGUCUGAUGAAUCUUUCUCCUAAGAUAAGAAAAGACCUAGUCUGAUGAAUUUUCCCCUAGGAUCAAAAUCUUAGUCUGAUGAAUCUUUCUCCUAAGAUAACAAAAGACCUAGUCUGAUGAACUUUAUCCUAGGAUCAAAAUCUUAGUCUGAUGAAUCUUUCUCCUAAAAUAGCGAAAAAAAAGAAAAGAAGAAGAAAAAGAAAGAAAGAGGAACUAGUCUGAUGAAUUUUCUCCUAUGAUCGAUAUCUUAGUCUAAUGAAUUUUUCUCCUAAGAUAAAAGAACUAGUCUGAUGAAUUUUCUAGUCAAAUGCUCUUGGUUUAAUUCACAUGAGAAUCACAUCCUAGUCGAGUAUUUAGUUUUACUCUCAUUAUCGCAUCAAUAAUAAGUAGUUUAUAGUUUUGAUAACAACUCACCGAUCUUCCUAGUGCAAACUGGGGCAAAUUUUUUUGGUUUGUUUUACUGUUUUGAUUGCAGGCGCCCACCUGGAAAACGAGGGAAGACAUUUCAGAGUUUAUUUUAGAGUCAUUUCAAGUUUCAAGUCAGUAGUAUGCACUCACCUGGAGAACAAGGGAAGUCAUUUAAGAAUUCAAUUCAAGUUAGAAAUAGCAUAAAAAGAAAAAAAAAGAAGAAAAAAGAAAAGGGAAGUGAAUCCAAAAUGCAGAAGGUGAGACAAGAGGUGGAUUGCUCAAGACAUGACUAAAUUCACAAGCAUGGUGCGUCCGGUUCUGAUUCGAAAAGUUGAAGAAAAAUGAACUAGCACCUGCAGCUAGUGAGCGUCAAGGUUCAAAUCUAAAGUCUGCAUGAAGAACCAUUCAAGACUCAAGAUCAAGCUUAAGAUAUAUAGAUAGGAAUUUUGUAACUCAGAGCUGGCAUGCUUAGUUAGUCUUUUUCAUUUUUGAUUUUAAUGUAAUAACAAGACCGCGGACCAGAACCUCAACAGAAUGACACCUCGAUCGGCUCUCCACCUCGGUAUACUCCAUCAUCUCAUUCACUUUCGAACUAUACGUGGCAUGUUUCCUUU